rnacentral:lncRNA from 1 species
CCAAGACCCCCCAGCCGAUAAAUGGCCAAAAAACGGGUGGGCUAUAGCCUUGGUGGGGGGCGUGGGCGAAGUUCGUCCGCGGGACUCGGAAUGGCACCAUACUUGGCGGGCGGCCUCUGUGUGCCAAAAAUAGGCCACGGGCACAGCCGCGCCCAAAAAUCAGCCCCCGAAGGUCGGGGUCCCAAGAUCCCCCAGUGGAAAAAUGGCCAAAAAACGGGUGGGCUAUAGCCUUGGUGGGGGGCAUGGGCGAACUUCGUCCGCGGGACUCGGAAUGGCCCCUGACUUGGCGGGCGGCCUCCGUGUGCCAAAAAUAGGCCACGGGCACAGCCGCGCCCAAAAAUCAGCCCCCGAAGGUCGGGGUCCCAAGAACCCCCAGCGGAAAAAUGGCCAAAAAACGGGUGGGCUAUAGCCUUGGUGGGGGGCGUGGGCGAAGUUCGUACGCGGGACUCGGAAUGACACCUUACUUGGCGGGCGGCCUCUGUGUGCCAAAAAUAGGCCACGGGCACAGCCGCGCCCAAAAAUCAGCCCCCGAAGGUCGGGGUCCCAAGAACCCCCAGCGGAAAAAUGGCCAAAAAACGGGUGGGCUAUAGCGUUGGUGGGGGGCGUGGGCGAAGUUCGUCCGCGGGACUCGGAAUGGCACCAUACUUGGCGGGCGGCCUCUGUGUGCCAAAAAUAGGCCACGGGCACAGCCGCGCCCAAAAAUCAGCCCCCGAAGGUCGGGGUCCCAAGAUCCCCCAGUGAAAAAAUGGCCAAAAAACGGGUGGGCUAUAGCCUUGGUGGGGGGCGUGGGCGAAGUUCGUCCGCGGGACUCGGAAUGGUCCCUGACUUGGCGGGCGGCCUCCGUGUGCCAAAAAUAGGCCACGGGCACAGCCGCGCCCAAAAAUCAGCCCCCGAAGGUCGGGGUCCCAAGACCCCCCAGCGGAAAAAUGGCCAAAAAACAGGUGGGCUAUAGCCUUGGUGGGGGGAGUGGGCGAAGUUCGUCCGCGGGACUCAGAAUAGCAUCAUACUUGGCGGGCGGCCUCUGUGUGCCAAAAAUACUCCACGGGCACAGCCGCGCCCAAAAAUCAGCCCCCGAAGGUCGGGGUCCCAAGACCCCCCAGUGGAAAAAUGGCCAAAAAACGGGUGGGCUAUAGCCUUGGUGGGGGGCGUGGGCGAACUUCGUCCGCGGGACUCGGAAUGGCCCCUGACUUGGCGGGCGGCCCCUAUGUGCCAAAAAUAGGCCACGGGCACAGCCGCUCCCAAAAAUCAGCCCCCGAAGGUCGGGGUCCCAAGACCCCCCAGCGCAAAAAUGGCCAAAAAACGGGUGGGUUAUAGCCUUGGUGGGGGGCGUGGGCGAAGUUCGUCCGCGGGACUCGGAAUGGCACCAGACUUGGCGGGGGGCAUCCGUGUGCCAAAAAUAGGCCACGGGCACAGCCGCUCCCAAAAAUCAGCCCCCGAAGGUCGGGGUCCCAAGACCCCCCAGCGGAAAAAUGGCAAAA